rnacentral:rRNA from 1 species
GAUGAACGCUGGCGGCGUGCCUAACACAUGCAAGUCGAGCGAUUCUCUUCGGAGAAGAGCGGCGGACGGGUGAGUAACGCGUGGGUAACCUGCCCUGUACACACGGAUAACAUACCGAAAAGGUAUGCUAAUACGAGAUAAAUAUGCUUUUUUAUCGCAUGGUAGAAGUAUCAAAAGCUCCGGCGGUACAGGAUGGACCCGCGUCUGAUUAGCUAGUUGGUAAGGUAACGGCUUACCAAGGCGACGAUCAGUAGCCGACCUGAGAGGUGAUCGGCCACAUUGGAACUGAGACACGGUCCAAACUCCUACGGAGGCAGCAGUGGGGAAUAUUGCACAAUGGGCGAAAGCCUGAUGCAGCAAACGCCGCGUGAGCGAUGAAAGGCCUUCGGUCG